rnacentral:rRNA from 1 species
AAUAUUGGACAAUGGGGGCAACCCUGAUCCAGCCAUGCCGCGUGUGUGAAGAAGGUAANCGGUAUNUNAAGCACUUUAAGUAGAGNGAUAGGGCUUUAGGCUAAUACCCUGAAGUUUUGACGUUACCAACAGAAUAAGCACCGGCUAACUCUGUGCCAGCAGCCGCGGUAAUACAGAGGGUGCAAGCGUUAAUCGGAAUUACUGGGCGUAAAGCGCGCGUAGGUGGUUCAGUAAGAUGGGUGUGAAAUCCCCGGGCUUAACCUGGGAACUGCUUUCAUAACUGCUGAGCUAGCGUACGGUAGAGGGUAGUGGAAUUUCCUGUGUAGCGGUGAAAUGCGUAGAUAUAGGAAGGAACACCAGUGGCAAAGGCGACUACCUGGACUGAUACUGGCACUGAGGUGCGAAAGCGUGGGGAGCAAACA